GCCAGUGUGGCUCAGUGGUUUGAGUGUUGGACUAUGACCCUGGAGACCAGGGUUCAAUUCCCUCUUGACC
rnacentral:tRNA from 1 species